UUUUUUCCAAUUCUAAAACAUGAAAUUAAAAGAAGUUUGAAACAUAAAAAUCCUUGAUAUGGAGAAACACACCAAAAAAAACCAACCUGAUGAUCCUUUUCUGAUUAUUUCGUACACAACUUCCCUCACAAUAUAAUUAGAGGCGACUUUCUCCUUUUCUCUUUCUAAGGUUGUAUAAGGAAAAAAAUAAGAUUAGGUUUAGUUAUUUAUUUAUUAAUAAAUCUUAUGAAUUCUCCUAAUUAUAAUUGAAUUUAUUACUACCCACAUUUAAUUAAAUUAAACUCAAUUAAUUUUAAAGGCCCAAAUUGUACUAAAUUAAUUUACCCACCUCUUAUUAAUAUUUAUUAGCCCACACAAAUUAAAUAAUUAGUUUGACC
rnacentral:lncRNA from 1 species